rnacentral:rRNA from 1 species
AUACGGAGGGGACUAGCGUUGUUCGGAAUUACUGGGCGUAAAGCGUACGUAGGCGGAUCAGAAAGUAUGGGGUGAAAUCCCAGGGCUCAACCCUGGAACUGCCUCAUAAACUCCUGGUCUUGAGUUCGAGAGAGGUGAGUGGAAUUCCGAGUGUAGAGGUGAAAUUCGUAGAUAUUCGGAGGAACACCAGUGGCGAAGGCGGCUCACUGGCUCGAUACUGACGCUGGGGUACGAAAGUGUGGGGAGCAAACAGGAUUAGAAACCCUAGUAGUCC